CCAAUUGAAAUUUAUUCCUGGGUGAAAAAGCCCAUAUACCAAUUAAAGACAAGAAGACCCUAUAAGCUUUUUAAAACUUCAGCUCCCCUAUCCAAAGUUUUAUUUGGUUGGGGCGACCAAAAGAAUAAAACACUUAAAAUAAUAAUAGAGAUAUACCUCAUAUAUGAUUAGCCAUAAACAUAUAAGCAAGUUACUGUAGGGAUAACAGGCUAAUAUUUCCCAAGAGUACGCCUCCACGGAAAUGAUUGGCACCUCGAUGUUGGCUUAGGGUGUCUAUUUCCUGUAGAAGUGAAAUAAGAAGGUUUGUUCCACCCUUAAUCCCCUAGGGGA
rnacentral:rRNA from 1 species